GAGAAUAGCAGGGUCGAACUGUCGAUGGACAUUAAAAUAUCAACUGACAGAUGAGGAGAAAAAUGUUCGAAAUCGUUGGAGUUAACUCCAUGUAGAUUGUUUGCUGGCACCAACUUCCGUUUCAAUUCGAUUUAUGACAUCUUAGUGGCUCUUUAGCAUACCGAACCGUGAAAAGGCACAGUAGCUACAGGAAAGAAGUGCUAAUACUUCAGAGUUAAAUAUUUGGAAAAAGUGACAACGUUCGCAAGCAGGUUUCAGCUAUUGUGUAAUCAAAACCUCAUGAUGGGUGUGCUUCAACACAGACAAUUUGGAGCCAAGAGAACCAUAAAUGGUAUGUCAUGUCAACUCUAUCAUAAAGAGGCUUUGUCUUGCCGGGACAAAACAUUUUUUUUCGCUGACCAAACAGGGACUUUGCUCACCCAACUAACGCUUACGUGCGAAGGAGGAAGCAAAUUUAGCGUAUGAUGAUCGUGUUUUGGUAAGCCGCUUCGUGGAGGCAUUUUCUAUUUUAAGCUUCGAGCUUUCUCUUUGGCAACAAUAACAAUAAGUUUUCAAUUUCUUCCAAAUAUUUACGUUGGACUGUAGCAAGUUUUACACUUCCAACUAAUUGAAGCCGUUUAAAAUCAGCAAGAACUGAUAGACCAAAUUUGAUAUUAUAGAACCAAAACUUCUCUACAAAUAUAAGUCUGUGGAACACCAACAUACUUUAGCGUGGAAUGUUAAAUAUUUACGGUGUACUUAUGGAGUUUUAGCUUCAUGAAGCUUCUUCAAAGCGAAAGGAAAUUUUAUUUGAAAACACCAAGUCACUCCGACAAAGGGCUUAAGACAAUUCCUUCGUAAAUUUCUGGAAAGCUUUUCCGUGACAAGCUGGGACGUGACUUCAAUAUGCAUAAUUAAUCCCGCAAAUUGUAAUUUCGAAAGCUUAAAAUAAUCCUACUCGAAAGUCCCAAAAACUCCGAAACAAAAACAAAGUUUUUCCUCAAUUCAACCGCGUCGGCUGACCACAAAAUUGGCAAGCAAAACGGAUGAAAAGGUUGUUAAUACAUCGCGGUUCCAAAUACGGAAACCCUGCUAAUUCUUUGUCGAGCAUUGUUGACUUUGGUCCAAACAGACGACAUGAUUGAAAUAAACAGAUUGGUUUUAUUUCUCCUUUUAUAA